rnacentral:rRNA from 1 species
UACGAAGGGGGGCUAGCGUUGUUCGGAAUCACUGGGCGUAAAGCGCACGUAGGCGGAUCUUUAAGUCAGGGGUGAAAUCCCGAGGCUCAACCUCGGAACUGCCUUUGAUACUGGGGAUCUCGAGUCCGGGAGAGGUGAGUGGAACUGCGAGUGUAGAGGUGAAAUUCGUAGAUAUUCGCAAGAACACCAGUGGCGAAGGCGGCUCACUGGCCCGGUACUGACGCUGAGGUGCGAAAGCGUGGGGAGCAAACAGGG